rnacentral:rRNA from 1 species
UACGAAGGGGGCUAGCGUUGCUCGGAAUCACUGGGCGUAAAGGGUGCGUAGGCGGAUCUUUAAGUCAGGGGUGAAAUCCUGGAGCUCAACUCCAGAACUGCCUUUGAUACUGAGGAUCUCGAGUUCGGGAGAGGUGAGUGGAACUGCGAGCGUAGAGGUGAAAUUCGUAGAUAUUCGCAAGAACACCAGUGGCGAAGGCGGCUCACUGGCCCGAUACUGACGCUGAGGCACGAAAGCGUGGGGAGCAAACAGG